rnacentral:tRNA from 1 species
GGGGAUUUAGCUCAGUGGUAGAGCGCUUGCCUAGCAAGCACAAGGCCAUGGGUUCAGUCCCCA